GAUGAACGCUGGCGGCGUGCCUAAUACAUGCAAGUCGAGCGAACAGACGAGGAGCUUGCUCCUCUGACGUUAGCGGCGGACGGGUGAGUAACACGUGGAUAACCUACCUUUAAGACUGGGAUAACUUCGGGAAACCGGAGCUAAUACCGGAUAAUAUAUUGAACCGCAUGGUUCAAUAGUGAAAGACGGAUUUGCUGUCACUUAUAGAUGGAUCCGCGCCGCAGUAGCUAGUUGGUAAGGUAACGGCUUACCAAGGAAACGAUGCGCAGCCGACCGGGGGGGGGGAUGGGGCACACUCGAACUGAGACACGGUCCAGACUCCCACGGGAGGGAGCAGUAGGGGAUCUUCCGCAAUGUGCGAGAGCGGUACGCAGCAACGCCGCGCGAGUGAGGAAGAUCUUCGGAUCGUAAAACUCUGUUAUUAGGGAAGAACAAAAGUGUAAGUGAUUAUAAACGUGUUGACGGUACCGAUACAGAAAGCCACGGCUAACUACGUG
rnacentral:rRNA from 1 species